CGGGGAAAGGUAUAAUUUUGGAGGCAAAAAUUUUGGGUUUUUCUCCCCCAACCAAAAAAGUCUCGAUUUACACUUAGCUCCAACAAAAAAGAAAAAAAAGCUUUCUCCAAAAUUUCAAUUCAAUCUCAAAGUGUUUGUGAAAUCUGAAUACCCAUUAUUGCAUGAACUCUCGAUUGCCAUUGAAGAAAUUUCGAUUAUCAGCACCACAAUCUCCAUCGAUUCUCCACUAUCCGUCUCUGUAUUUCUCCUUCUUUCUCUGCGGUUGUUUCUCAGAUCCGCCACCGUCUCUCUCCUCCGUCGCCAUAUCUCUCCGUCUCUAUCUCUCUUCGACUCCGUCUCUGUAUCUGUCUCAAUAGCUCAGGCGAUCUAAGUCUCAUUAGCCUCGAACUCAGUAGCUUCUCUGUCUCAAUAGAUCCGUUUCUCUCCUUGUCUGUCUCAGUAGCUUCGAAACCAGCUGAUCUCAUCCACCUGAAAGUUGGAUUUGUGGAUCUGUAGUUGCCGCUCUGUAGCUGUUCAGUACAAGAACUACAAGAAUCUUGAUUCCUAAUCUUCAAACUUCUUACCACAAGAAGGAGAAACUCUCUGGCAACUUGCACAGAACUUUGUGAAGCUUUUCUUGUGCUCAGAUGUAAGUAAAUAAGUAAUAUGACAUCUCUCUUAUAAACAACUUUGACCAAUGGCCAAUUAAUUGAUACCUCUCUUGUUGUUACUACUCUUUGUUUCUUUACUUUCUUUCUAGUGUGUUGAUGCAUGUGAGUUAUUUGAGUGUGAUCCUUUGAACUUAUUAUCACAAAUUGUAUAAUUGGUGGUGUGGAGCUAUGGUCGUAUUGGUGUAAUAUUGACAAAGCAUGUGUUAGGCUUCCAAGAUAAGAAUCUCAUUGAGUAUAUGUUUAUAUUUUUUCUUCUGUUGUUCAGUUUCCUAACACAAUUGGACUAAUUUGAUUUUGGUUAUUAUGCAGAACGGUAUGACAAAUCACAUAUGCAAAUGAUAAGAGUACAUAUGUAUAUGCCUUUUUUACUGCAAUCAGAGAGAUAAAGAAGAUAAAGCAACAAGUGAAGUGGUCUUGGAGCUGAGAUCAUUGGCAAAUUCGUCCUUGUAUACACAGUCUUCUCAGCAACUGACGCCAAGAGAAACGCCUGUGACUCUCAUGUCCCCUGGCCAGUAAGAGUUGCUAAAUCUAAUUUGAUUAGGGUCAUCUCACAUUAUACAUGACAGUACUGUCCAUAUUUAAUUGAACAUCUUCUCUUAGUUGACAGAGGACAGUGAUUGAUGAUUCUUUGACAGCAAGUUUCAAAAUCAUCACAUGCACAGACACAGGCAAAGACACCACCAGAGAGACCUCUGUAUCACAAUUAGGUUUAUUAUGUUUAGAAACUUUAAGACAAUUUUUUUUGUUUAUUUUCAUGUGUAAGGGGGGUGUAUUCAAUAAAGGAUUUGAAAUGAUUUGUAUUAAAAAGAUAAAUCCUAUGUUAUUCAAACAUGAAUUUUAAAAAUCUUUUUAAAA